rnacentral:rRNA from 1 species
UACGGAGGGUGCGAGCGUUGUCCGGAAUUACUGGGCGUAAAGCGUGCGUAGGUGGUUUGUUAAGUCUGUUGUGAAAGCCCCGGGCUCAACCUGGGAAUGGCAAUGGAUACUGGCAAGCUAGAGUGCGGUAGAGGGUAGUGGAAUUCCCGGUGUAGCGGUGAAAUGCGUAGAGAUCGGGAGGAACACCAGUGGCGAAGGCGGCUACCUGGACCAGCACUGACACUGAGGCACGAAAGCGUGGGGAGCAAACAGG